CUCGGAAUUGCAUUUGAAACUGGCAGACUAGAGUACUGUAGAGGGGGGUAGAAUUUCAGGUGUAGCGGUGAAAUGCGUAGAGAUCUGAAGGAAUACCGGUGGCGAAGGCGGCCCCCUGGACAGAUACUGACACUCAGAUGCGAAAGCGUGGGGAGCAAACAGGAUUAGAUACCCUGGUAGUCCACGCCGUAAACGAUGUCUACUUGGAGGUUGUGGCCUUGAGCCGUGGCUUUCGGAGCUAACGCGUUAAGUAGACCGCCUGGGGAGUACGGUCGCAAGAUUAAAACUCAAAUGAAUUGACGGGGGCCCGCACAAGCGGUGGAGCAUGUGGUUUAAUUCGAUGCAACGCGAAGAACCUUACCUACUCUUGACAUCCAGAGAACUUUCCAGAGAUGGAUUGGUGCCUUCGGGAACUCUGAGACAGGUGCUGCAUGGCUGUCGUCAGCUCGUGUUGUGAAAUGUUGGGUUAAGUCCCGCAACGAGCGCAACCCUUAUCCUUGUUUGCCAGCGAGUAAUGUCGGGAACUCCAGGGAGACUGCCGGUGAUAAACCGGAGGAAGGUGGGGACGACGUCAAGUCAUCAUGGCCCUUACGAGUAGGGCUACACACGUGCUACAAUGGCGCAUACAGAGGGCGGCCAACUUGCGAAAGUGAGCGAAUCCCAAAAAGUGCGUCGUAGUCCGGAUUGGAGUCUGCAACUCGACUCCAUGAAGUCGGAAUCGCUAGUAAUCGUGGAUCAGAAUGCCACGGUGAAUACGUUCCCGGGCCUUGUACACACCGCCCGUCACACCAUGGGAGUGGGCUGCAAAAGAAGUAGGUAGUUUAACCUUCGGGGGGACGCUUACCACUUUGUGGUUCAUGACUGGGGUGAAGUCGUAACAAGGUAGCGCUAGGGGAACCUGGCGCUGGAUCACCUCCUUAAACGAUGAU
rnacentral:rRNA from 1 species